rnacentral:rRNA from 1 species
UCCGUCCUACGGGGGGCAGCAGUGAGGGAUAUUGGUCAAUGGGGGAAACCCUGAACCAGCAACGCCGCGUGAGGGAAGACGGUUUUCGGAUUGUAAACCUCUGUCCUCUGUGAAGAUGAUGACGGUAGCAGAGGAGGAAGCUCCGGCUAACUACGUGCCAGCAGCCGCGGUAAUACGUAGGGAGCAAGCGUUGUCCGGAUUUACUGGGUGUAAAGGGUGCGUAGGCGGCUUUGCAAGUCGGAAUUGAAAUCUAUGGGCUUAACCCAUAAACUGCUUUUGCAACUGCAGGUCUUGAGUGAAGUGGA